rnacentral:piRNA from 1 species
UGCCUGUUGGGUUUUGAGUAAGAUUAGCUGU